AGUAGUCUCCAGAGGUUACACUACGUGUAUAUCAGCAGUAGUCUCCAGAGGUUACACUAGGUGUAUAUCAGCAGUAGUCUCCAGACAGAGGUUACACUAGGUGUAUGUCAGUAGCAGUCUCCAGACAGAGGUUACACUAGGUGUAUAUCAG